rnacentral:misc_RNA from 1 species
AUGAUUGCGAAUGGUUACCUUCGGUGCUGGCUCGCUGAGGAAGCAAGUAAGUGCACGUCGGUGGCCUUCAUCUCUCAUCCACACUACCCUGUGAACCUUUGGCCUCUUGCUAGCUUCGGCUGGCAGAGGAUUUUUUUUAUACACACACUCGAAUGUAAUGAAAACUUUUGUUGUUGUGCGCAAGCACACUAAUGUA